GGAAGGGGAUCUGAGGAAGGAAGGAAGACUGAUCAGCAGAAAAAGGUGCCUGCUGCUUCUCUGAACAUAAAAGGAAGGAAGGGAGUCCCAGUCUUGUUGAGUUGAGAAUAUAAGAGCUCCAGAACCACUUGAAGAGAAGACAGAGGCCACAGACACUUUUAAGGGUAUAAGAUAGAGGCCUAGAGUCCCACUGCUGAGGCUUGUGUCACCCUAGGACUACCCUUGGCCUUAGACUAGUGGAGUUCCAAGUUCCUCCUUUUCCUAGGAACUGGCCAAGACUCCUGAGGAAGGGGCCUAGUCUGGUGCUGCUCUGCAGAUGUUUCUGGGGGACCCCAUGGCACUGUCCUGUUCCCAUCCAGUAAGUUUUGGCCCAUAGACAUACUUUGAAUUAGAAGAGACAUGGACACAACUUACCAGUUUUCCCAACACAGGGAACUGCAAGAGAACAAAGUAACACAAUUAGGUUAAGUAGCAAAAAGAGCUUUCUGACAAGGAGGCCUGUCACUUCAGCAAUGGGGACUUACACCCAUUCAACCAACCACCCGGCCACCAAACCUCCUAGCCACCCAUCCACACAGCCAUCCAACCAUCCAACCACAUAACCACUCAACCACCAAACAACCCAGCCAUCAGCCAUCCAACCACCCAACCAUCCAACCAUCCAACCACCCAACCACCCAACCACCCGGCCACUUGACUACUCAACGUUUGUGCUGGACGUACUCCCUAGAACUCUUUGCCCUAUCACAGUUCAAAUGUUGCCUUCUCAAACAGGUCUUCCCUGGGACUCCAAUCAAAAGAAUUUUCCCCAAUCACUAAAACAAUGCCCCAUUGUAUUAUCUUCAAAACACUUAUCACUAUUUGAAUUUAUCUUAUUCAUUAAAUUGCCUACAUGUUAUCACCUCUCUCUCUGGCUAGAAUAUAAGCUCCAUAGUAGCAGGGACUCUGCUUAUUUUACUCAUUGCUAUAUUUUCUAUGCCCAAGACCUGUGCCUGGAACAUAGUCUGUGUUCAGUAAGCAUCUGCUGAAUAAAUGCAUGAAUGUUUUCCUUUGCAUCCCAUUGUACGAGGUGGGAAGCAAAAAGUAGAAAACAUAGGACUAGACUCUUGUACGAAUGUGCCUGAGGGUCCUACCUCCAACAUCUACAGGAGAACCCAUAUAGCAAGGGCAGGACCUGAUUCUUGUGGUCCCAUCUCUCCACAGAGCUCUGGCAAAAAGGGUAUGGAAGUGACCAGACUGAGGAGGAUAAGUCCCCUGAAAGAGUAAUCAUUAAAGGAUGUGAGACAUUAUCAGGCAGCAUGGAUGAAUGAGAGAACUACAAACAAACUGGAUGCAUCCCACAUCAUGCUUGCAUCUUGGAUGUGCUACAUUCAUGUUUUUAAAUGAGUGAAUGUGUGAGAACAGGUGACCUGGGAAGAGGGGCCAACUCACAAAAUGAUGACAGAUAUGGUUAGAUAGGUUUGAAUAGCCCAAACAAUGGAAGACCUGAAAUUGAAGGUCAUAGCUGGAUAUGAAGCAGUGAAGAAUCUUCUGGACUUUGGGGCAAGGUGUGAAACAAUGAAUGAAUGUAGGGCUGAGUGCAGUCAGUCCAGCCAAUCCUCAUACAUUUACUUGUGUCCUGCAUUGCUGGCAUGUCCUAGGUAUUUUACAUAACACCAAAAAAAAAAUGCAAGAAUGGCCUUGGGAAGGGUGGGUGAAAACCCUCUAAGAGCAGAUGUUUGGCUCUGUCACAUGGUAUCAUCUUUGCUUUCUACACUACUUUGGACACAGGUGGAAUCUUUCAGCUCAAUUCUCUAUUCAGCUCAGGGUCAGCUCAGUCAUAUGCUCUCAAGAGUGUGCAGAACAAUGAGUCUCUUCUUUAUCAUCCCUCCAUCUCCACCCCUAACCCCCAUCUAUGAGCUCGGUGUAGUGGAAAGCAUGCAGGAUUUGGAAUCAGAUGACCUGGACUUGAGUCAUGAAUUUGCCUCUUUCUGUACGACCUUGAACAAGUUGUCUAAGUUCCAAGAGCCUUCAAUAUCUCAUUCUGUCAUAUCACAUAAUAGAAAUGAUAAUAGUCAUUUUUUUCUUACAGUGUAGUUGUGAAGGUUAUGUUGACCCACUGCCUGGGAAAGUGGUUACUACAUUAACUGAAAGCAGAAAGAAGGCCUGACCUCAGAGUGACAGAGACCUUACUCUGUAGUUAUGUCUUCCUUCCCUUCCCCACCUCACUGGAAAACAAUUGUGCAGCUACAAAGUGCUAAACAAACAGGGUUGAGACUACUGAAGCCAAAAACAAGACAGAAGGCACUCAGGAAGCAUAGAUGCACUUAAAAUGAGCUCCUGUCCCCAAAUCUCAAUGACUUGCUCCCCAUGGUACUGCAAGAUCUUGGAGGUGGGAUUACAAAAUUGGUUUCUGCAAUCAAAACAGCAGCCAACUGGGAACAUACACAGGGGGUGACACCUGCUUACAGCAGUUCCUGCAAUGAGGGCCCAGGGACCUCCAUUAGCUAUAGGCUGAAGAUGAGGUGACAGUAUCAUGAAGUGGCCAAGAGCUAUGGUCAAACCAAGUUGCGUAAUAGAAUUCCGAAAAAUGAAGGCAGGAGCCCCUGCCAACUCUAGGAGCAGGAUAAUUUCCUCUUAAAGUUUCUGAGGGAUCGGGAGAUAUUUAUCUGGGAAAGAUGCAACAGAGGAAAGACACAAAAUACUUGGUGGGCUAAGCUUAAAAGAAGGGGGAGACUUAUUCUGAGUUACUUUAUAGGACAGAAAUGGAAACUAGAGGGAUCAUGGAGGCAGAUUUCGGCUCAACAUGAAGAACUCUCUCACCACUGAGCUCUAGCACUGUGGAACAGGCUGCAGUGCCAAGCUGCAGCAGUCACAUUGCUGGGAGGGCUGUAUGGGACCCCAUGACACCUCCUAUGGACGCUGUGUGAGAAUGCGGGGAGCAGCCUCCAGUGGUAGGAGGGAAGUUGGCUAAUGUUCAGCUCAGAAGAAAAUUAAGCCUAAUUUCCCAAACUUUAAAUACAUAUUUCACAUUCAGCCAGGUCCCCACAUGCUCAAUGUCAGGAUUCCUUUCCUCCCGGAGCCCUGACAGCCAAUAAUAGUAAUAGCCACCAAUUUAUUAUGACCACACCCUGCUCUUGAGAGAGGAAAUAGCAGCUCUACACUUAUGGUAAGAUAAAUGUUGCUACACACCCAGCCCCAGUGUCUGUGUUUUAGGCUGUUUUUCCAGGGUCCCUGAGCAUCAAGUGGGACCAAAUUUGCUGGUGCUGGAUUCUCCAUUACACUGUGCACCAGUCAGCCGGUCACUGAUUCCCUUCCUCUCCUCAUUUGCUGUCUGUCAUCCUCGUCCUGGGUUCCAAGCUGGAACACUCUCAGACUGUAUCUAGACAAGUCCAAGGGCUGUUCCUUUUACAAGGUAGUGCCGGUAGUGCCAUUUGCCCCUGGGAGUCUUCUGCCUGGAGUAUAUCCAGGCAUUAGGCUAUCCUGUCCCCGCCUCAGUGUGAGCAUUAGACCUUUUCAUUUGUCCAAAUGGCCAUUCAUAGAACACACGAGUAGCAUGCUAUGCUGGAGAAGGAACAUUGAGUGGAAGGGGCAUUUUCCUCACAGGGUCAAAUUCUCACAAACUCUGUCCAGGAAGAGGUUAUAUUUAGGAACAGUUUUGCUUUUCUAGUUCAAGGAAUACAAAUAGCAAGCAAGCUAUUGGGACCAAGAAUUAAACAAAAAGUAGGUCCACUUGGAAACUGUAAAGUGAAACAAAAUAUAUGCCAAAUUAUUUCUUUUAGGUAUAAGGGGGGUGACACUGGCUGAGACUGAGCUGGGUCUGGGGGAGCCCAGUGACCCUCUGCGUGCAAUCCUCUACCCUUAGACCAGCUCUCUUAGUUACAAGUAGCCUGCAUGAGAAGAAAUGGAGAGAAGAGAGAGAGAGACAUGGAUCAGACAAUGGAGUUGAUUCUUCAAACCAGCCCCAUGGAUCUGAAACAGCUCCCAACAGAGAGAAGAUGUAGGCGGAAGAGAGACAGUCAAUUUGAAAAGGGCUUUGGUUACUCAGAGCACAGGCCUUUCAACCAGGUGAGAGGUCUGGCCAUUGUUACCUGGUUCUAAGAAAAUGCUGAGGCUCCAUAAAAAUAUGUCACCCUGUAAAAUUCCACCUCCCAUUGCUGAGCAAAAUGCCUGGGACUGUUUCCCCUCAUUUCCCUGACUCCUUCCCUGUUGCCCCCAGCAGCCUCCUUCCCUCCUGCAACCUCCAUUUCCUUUUGAGACAGCUCUGAUUAGUAUUUUAACCUGAUGUCACAAGGUAGAAAUGUCAUUGGGAAGUUAGGGGACUUUGUAAUGUGAUUUUCUGCCUCCCUAAUUUAUCUCUGACAUAUCAAAGGGCUGCGCUGCCAAGGACCCAGGACUACGGGGUAGGAAACACUGAGGAGUUUCUCCUACCCCAGUGCCCAUCUCUCCCAAGCAUGCCCAGGUGCACACACCUGUCUUGAGCUCCAGCCACAAACCCACUGGAAUUGGGAAAGCUUCAACAAGCCUAUGCCAGGGAACUAGGAUGGAACAUGGUUAUGGGACACCUCCAUUAGAAAGGUCCAGAGACUGCCCGAAUUUGCUUGGCUUCAGCGUCAUUCAGCCUGGGAGACAGCGCAGCACUGUAAAACUAAGAUCAUCUACCCCUUGACCACCGAGUGACCUCCCAGCUUCCAAGGAGCUCCUGUCUCCAGAGAUCUCCUGAGUUGUCUUCAACUUCGUUCAGCUGCAGGUCCUGUGGGUGUGUGGAGUCCCUGCAGGGCAGCAGCUGGGGCAGG